rnacentral:misc_RNA from 1 species
UGGGAGCUAUUACUUUAAUAGAACAUAUUAUCUCUCAGUCACCUAUUCUAAUACUUUAUCAUCAACAUGAUCAUCAUUAUUCAUUAAUGGCAUGCUUUAAGCUACGUUCACAUCAAGCCCGGAUUCCGGUCCGGAGUCCGGAGAAAAAAUCGUGAGAAAUGGCUUCAGUGGUAAAGAAUAGAAGCGUUCACAUCAGAACUGACCGGAUCCGGUACAGAUUUGCUCAGGAGUUCGGAUUCGGAGGAAUGGCUUUGAAAGCCAUCGGAAAAAAAAAAUCGUACGUUUUUUUUAUUCUGACCAAUCAGCAGCAAGCGCCAUUUGACCUCUUGAAAACUUGAUAGCCAAACUUUUUACGCUUGUUGUGGAUGAGCGGAUCGAUCGGCACGAGAAAUGGAACAAGACAAUAAAAUGGAAAACCUAAUUAUCGAGGUGGAGAACAAUCCACUUUUAUAUAAUUUGGCUGAUAAAAGCUACAAAGAUACCAGGAAGAAGUUAGAUGUGUGGGAAGAGAUAGCCCAGAAGGUUGGCAUAGAGUCAGGUGAAAUUGCCUCAAAAAAAUUUCACAACAUCAAAGAUGCCUAUGUGGCGUACUUAAGUAAAUUAAAAGUACGGAGUGGUCAAGGACUACAAGGCAAGAUUCGGAAGUACAAAUGGGCAGAUCAACUGCAGUUCUUAAAUGCCUUUGUGACUACAAGGAGAAGCACUGGAAAUUUGCCAUCUACUGCAGAUGAUAAAUCUAGCACACUACUACUAAACACUAUUCUUGAAGGUGUUGUAAACACUGAAGAUGAUGAUAAUGAAAAUGAUGAAGCGGGUGCAUCAACGGCCAAUAUUGAGCUUGGUGGUAUGUCAUCACAAAUAAAAAGGAAGAAAGUUAAGAAUGAUGAAGUGAAUUCAGCCAUAAUUGACUAUCUUGCCUCCAAAUCUGUGUCUAGUAAUGAGAAGGAUGGAUUAUCAUGUUUCUUUGAGUCAACAUUAAAAACAGUUAGGGCUUUUCCAAAAAUCAAACAAAUUGAAAUUAAAAAAAUUAUCAGCAAUGCUGUUAUAAACAUUGAAGAGGAGCUAGCGCUCAGUGAGGAGUAAGGCAAUACAGGCCCUUGAUGUAUUGCAACACAGAUUAAUUUUGUAAACAGGAAAUCCUCCCUCCUCGAUGAUUUAAACAGCAAAAGCACUGAUAAUUUUUUAAUCACUAUAUUCAAUAGUCCAUUUUACUGUGCACAUUAAUAUUUUGAGUACAUUUAUAUACUUAAAUACAAUACAUAAAAUAGAUAAGGUGUUGUUAUGAAAUAAGUCAAGUUGUAUGCCAGGUCAAAUUGAGAUACUGUAUUCACAAAAUUAUACUGAACUGUUUCUUUUUAAUGAGAUUUUACCGGGUUUAAAAAUUUUAAUAAUUAAUUACACAAUAGCAAACAUUCUGUAAUUACUGUAUAGUAAUUACAUAGUACAUUUAUAUACUGAAAUACAAUACAUAAAAUAGAUAAGGUGUUGUUAUGAAAUAAGUCAAGUUGUAGGCCAGGUCAAAUUGAGAUACUGUAUUCACAAAAUUAUACUGAACUGUUUCUUUUUAAUGAGAAUUUACCGGGUUUAAAAAUUUUAAUAAUUAAUUACACAAUAGCAAACAUUCUGUAAUUAAUGUAUAGGCUUAUCUUGAAACUGGGAUUGAGGCAUAUUUUUAUGGCAGAUUUUUAAAAUGUACCUAAGGAAACAUGCAAGAAG